AGGACGAACGCUGGCGGCGUGCUUAACACAUGCAAGUCGAGCGGUAAGGCCCUUCGGGGUACACGAGCGGCGAACGGGUGAGUAACACGUGGGUGAUCUGCCCUGCACUUCGGGAUAAGCCUGGGAAACUGGGUCUAAUACCGGAUAUGACCUUCGGCUGCAUGGCUGAGGGUGGAAAGGUUUACUGGUGCAGGAUGGGCCCGCGGCCUAUCAGCUUGUUGGUGGGGUAAUGGCCUACCAAGGCGACGACGGGUAGCCGACCUGAGAGGGUGACCGGCCACACUGGGACUGAGACACGGCCCAGACUCCUACGGGAGGCAGCAGUGGGGAAUAUUGCACAAUGGGCGAAAGCCUGAUGCAGCGACGCCGCGUGAGGGAUGACGGCCUUCGGGUUGUAAACCUCUUUCAGCAGGGACGAAGCGAAAGUGACGG
rnacentral:rRNA from 1 species